GUUACAUUUGCAGCAAAGUAAUAGGAAAAACGUUGUUUACACGUGUUCAUUCAGAGACCAGACAACCUGCAGGGAGGAUAGCCGCCCUUCAGAAACGCUCCUAAGAGUGACAUACUCCUGUCAGAUGGCCGGCGUCUCUCAGCAGGCGAGGGCUGAGCCUCGAGAAGGGUUUACUUUACAGAACGUUCGACCAUCUUUCAUUUAAGGGGUUGUUUGCACCUUGCUGUGGGUUUUGGGGUCUUUAGGGACCCCUGGUGGCCUAUAUAUGCUGUUGUUUUUCACCCUGGCUAUGGAACCUGCAACAACGGUUAAAGUUGUUACUACGGUGGCCGCAGAGCCCCUGAACGGGAUUGCACCGGCUUGGCUUGUCACAAAACCCAACCUCCCGUUCACCAUCACUUCUGCUCAGGACAAUACCUCACACCUGUGGAUAAAUGCUACCCUCAUUGGUACUGCUAAAAUCGUUGUAGCAGUGAGGUCCCUACGGAACACUCAGUGGAGAGCAGGGUCCUGCCUGGAACAGAAUAUCAUCAAUAGCAGUGUCACUUCUCAUUGACACACCGCGGAUCACCUCAAAAAUAAUCUGUAAAGAGCCAAAGAAUUGUGACAAUUUGCCAGACCUCCCCAGAAAUGCAAAGGUCUCUCAGCUUCCUAGACACUGAAAUUUUUGAACUUCAUUAGCAGUUUUUGGCAAAUGUCCUGAGGAAAUAGCAGAAACUGUAAAUAUCAACAGUUUUGGCUCUGCAGCCUGCAAGAUGCCACUGUAAGGAAGCAUGAGCAGGCAGAGAGCAGAAAUAAUAUUGCAACUGUUACAUCUAGUAUUUGCAGCAGUGCAAAGUUUUUUUAAAAAAAUAACCCUUAUUCCUGCUUGGACAAUAAAUAACUUUGGAAUUA